rnacentral:rRNA from 1 species
UUGACCUCGGAUCAGGUAGGGAUACCCGCUGAACUUAAGCAUAUCAAUAAGCGGAGGAAAAGAAACCAACAGGGAUUGCCUCAGUAACGGC